GUCGAGGGGAAACGAAAGAAAAAGCUUGCUUUUUCUGGGCGCCGACCGGCGCACGGGUGAGUAACCCCCUUCCAACCUGCCCAUCACUUGGGGAUAACCUUGCAAAAGUAAAACUAAUACCCAAUGACGUCUCUAGAAGACAUCUGAAGGAGAUUAAAGAUUUAUCGGUGAUGGAUGGGGAUGCGUCUGAUUAGCUUGUUGGCGGGGUAACGGCCCACCAAGGCAACAAUCAGUAGGGGUUCUGAGAGGAAGGCCCCCCACAUUGGAACUGAGACACGGCCCAAACUCCUACGGGAGGCAUUUUUGAGGAAUAUUGGUCAAGGGACGAGAGUCUGAACCAGCCAAGUAGCGGGCAGGAUGACGGCCCUAUGGGUUGUAAACUGCUUUUAUAAGGG
rnacentral:rRNA from 1 species